GUAAACGGAAUUAAAGUACCAGCACCAGUAUGUAUUUUGUAUGCAUUCUUUUUACAACAAUUUAUGCAACAAGAAAUCAACUAAAGUUUAAUUUUGAUUCUGAUGGU